rnacentral:rRNA from 1 species
AUUGAACGCUGGCGGCAGGCCUAACACAUGCAAGUCGAGCGGAUGAAGAGAGCUUGCUCUCUGAUUCAGCGGCGGACGGGUGAGUAAUGCCUAGGAAUCUGCCUGGUAGUGGGGGACAACGUCUCGAAAGGGACGCUAAUACCGCAUACGUCCUACGGGAGAAAGCAGGGGACCUUCGGGCCUUGCGCUAUCAGAUGAGCCUAGGUCGGAUUAGCUAGUUGGUGAGGUAAUGGCUCACCAAGGCGACGAUCCGUAACUGGUCUGAGAGGAUGAUCAGUCACACUGGAACUGAGACACGGUCCAGACUCCUACGGGAGGCAGCAGUGGGGAAUAUUGGACAAUGGGCGAAAGCCUGAUCCAGCCAUGCCGCGUGUGUGAAGAAGGUCUUCGGAUUGUAAAGCACUUUAAGUUGGGAGGAAGGG